UGCUGGUAGUUGCUGAGGUUGUUGCAGCGCGUAAUGUCCAUUGGAGGGCAUUAACCACUGCGGCUGUACACCUUCUCUUCAACCAGUAAGAAUAGUUCUUGUUAGGGUGAGAAAUACAAUCCAACAAAGACUUCUUUCUCCAUCAUGUCUUACUGCUACAACAAAGCCUCAAAUGCAGAAGCUCUCAGAAGAUGAAGACAAUAUUCAUUGACCUUCUCUGAUGUGAGACUGACAGCACUGCAGAAAAAUUGCAACUUCAAGCUUAUUUAUGUGAAACUUCUCAGAAGUCAUUUAUCACCAGUUAUUCGCAGAAUGUUUGUUCUAAUAAGCUGGGUCUGAGCCUGCUGCAGACCUCUGUCCACCAUGUGCUUGUUUGAGGUGCCUUUGCCUCCAACCUCCCUACGGCCCAGCCAGAAACCCACAUCUGUCUCUGAUCUCACAAAGGAUGAACGUUAAUCAGAACGUCUGCAAACCAAGCCCCUCUCUAGGGACUUUCAGAGAGGAUGGCCCAAGCUCCAGCACAGCUGACCUCACAGCACACCAGUUCUGAGCAUGGCUCUUGCACCUCCCGAAUGAGAGAGGACAACUGUGCAGCUCUGGUUUCCAGUGGGAAUUAUCCCUACCGAACUUACUGCUUCAAAUGCUUGUUCAGAAAGCCCAGAAAGUGUGAGAAGAGAAAACAAAGCGAUGGCUGAGUUGUCACAGUUUUACUGGCAGAAUGUCAACAUCAUAUUUUACACAGUGCGCAUGCUGGUAAGGUAGUGAGAUAAGCAGGAAGUCUGAGAUUUCCCUGCCUAACAGCUCUCUGAUGCUCUUGAUUUUGUAAAUCUCUUUAUUCUGUAGUAUGUGAUGGGAAAAGGCCACCUCGAUGAUGAGAAAAGCCACUGUAGGGAAUGACAAUAAUAUGUGCUUAUG